rnacentral:rRNA from 1 species
GUGCCAGCAGCCGCGGUAAUACGAAGGGUGCAAGCGUUACUCGGAAUUACUGGGCGUAAAGCGUGCGCAGGCGGUUUUGUAAGUCAGAUGUGAAAUCCCCGGGCUCAACCUGGGAACUGCAUUUGUGACUGCAUGGCUAGAGUACGGUAGAGGGGGAUGGAAUUCCGCGUGUAGCAGUGAAAUGCGUAGAGAUGUGGAGGAACACCAAUGGCGAAGGCAGCCCCCUGGGUCGAUACUGACGCUCAUGCACGAAAGCGUGGGUAGCAAACAGGAUUAGAUACCCUGGUAGUCCACGCCCUAA